CAGCUGGUGAGAAUGACCCCAGGGGCUCCGGUUUGGUGCCGAGGUGCAAAGAGCCAGGGGAGGUUUCUUAUGGUCUUCCUGGAGAGUAUUUAUGGUUCUCUCAAGGAUUUUGUCUUUCACCUUAACCUCUGAAGAGUGUGAGGCAGGCGAGGGAAACCAGACCAGAAACCUUUCCCUUUGCUUUUCAUAUAUUUGCUUAAGCGAUUUGCAUAAUCGUGCGUUUAGAACUGUGUAAGUUACUCCUAGAUGCUCCCCUUCUUACACCACUUGCAAAUAGCUGCCCACGCACACAGGAAACGAGUAUUUUCCUGAGCACCUGCCUCUUUGCUAAAGGUAUGAACCCCCGUGAUUUGUUCUCCCCACACGCAAACUCUUUACCUGGGCAUCGAACUCUUUGAGGACAUUGAUUCAUUCGCUGUGCAUUUAUAACGAGCCCACCAUGGAUAAGGCCCAGACACUGGGCUGCGCUAUGGGGAUGGAUUAGUGGAAGAGUUUCUGUUCCUUCUAUUACUGUUCUUUCUCACCAGAUUCCUUCCUUCUCCUUGUUCGUCAUUUCAGAACUAGAUUGUCAGUAUUAGGAGAGGAAGGAGAAGGAUGAGGAAGUGCAUUGGAACUCCGAGUCCAAAGCAUGUUGUGACCAUUCUAAGGAGUCUGGUGGGAUCUGAUUUAACUGAAUCUGUGUCUGAGUCAUCAUUAUUGCCUAAAUACAGUCAUUGAUGAAUGCAGCCAAGACAAACGUUUGCAGAAGAGAGCAAGUUGGGAGGUCAGAAGUAGUCUUUGCGUUGUUCCUAUUAUUACACUAUUAAAAAUCCAAUGCUCUGACGUUUGGAUUUGUCAGCAAAGUUCCAGCUAAGGUGGUUCUUGCUCCUUUUCCUCCUCCUCUUCUUUGGAAGGGGAAGAAUGGGGAUUCCAGUCUCCUCCUGUCUGUAAUGAAUUCACUGUAAUCCUUCCCAGAUUCUGCAUUUCUCUGUUCUUCCCCACAUCUCAAUCUGCCCCCUAUUUGGCAUUUGGAGUUGGAAUGUGUGUCAGCUUUGAGAAAGCAAUGCACCAAGCGCCCCCACCCCCUUCUUUUAAAAUAGAUAGCGUUUAUUGGCUGCAUACUAUAUAUCAGAUACUCUGCUAGAAAUCUUUCCAGGCAUUAUCUCAUUUAAUCCUUGCAACAACCCCAUGAAAAAGUGAGGCUUGGGAGUUGCCAGCAGAUGGAGCCUCUCAGGUGAGUCCUGAGUUUCAUGGAAGCCCAACAGGAUAGAGUGGGACUAAAGUCUCAAAAGUAGGGAAGAACAGCUAUCCAUGGCAAAUCCCUGCAGAAAGAAAAGUGGGUGUAUUUAUUGACCCUGUUUAUCAAGCAUCAAGAUGGUGUACUCCUCCAGAGUCUCACUCCUCCAGAGUUAUCUAGAGGUAAUAGAUAUAAGUAGAGAACAGCAUAUGACUUGGGGAUCUGAGUUCCAGCCUUGAUUUCUAAUUCUUUAUCUACUUGACUUGACGUCGGUCACUUUUCUUCUCUGCGUCUUAUCUGUUUAGCUGUAAGGAUAGAUUUCUAAUAUUUAUUGUCACCUUUUGCUAGGCACUACAAGCUAAAAACUUUUACAUGUAUUAACUCAUUUCUUCUUGAUGAUAAUAUAGCAGAUAUUUCAAAUGAGGAAAGAGACUGAAACUGAGCAAAUAAUUGUGUAACGCCACCCAGCUAGGAAAACAUGAAGCUGGGAUUCUAUCCCCAGCAGUCUGCCUGCAGGACCACUGGGAGAUCAAACCUUUUCUUGUUUAUUCUUAGUAGGUCCUCAGUCUUAGUAGGACCUAAGACUGAAUUUAUUGAGUGGUGAUUGGUAGAGCUGGCUUGAAGUUUCUGGUUUCUGGUUUUUCAUCUUAAAAAGAAUUUUGAAGGUUGCACUAGAAAUUGAAUCUCUUUCCUUUGCCAAAAUAGUCUGCUUUUCAAUGCAAUUCUUCCCAUCUGGUUAGAAAGAAAGGAAGACAGAACUUAGAGACCAUAGACUAGGAAACUUUAUGAUUAUUCCAGAAAACACAGUGAACAAUAUGAGAAACUCAGAAAAAUCACAGAACGCGUUGCCUCUGAGUCAAAUCCAUCCAGUAAGUAAACCAGUAACCAACCCACAAAUGUUUAUUGUGUGGGUGCCAUGUGCUUGGCCUAUAGGCACUGAGGGAAGGUGGGAUCUGAUAUGUAGUCUUUGAGCUUGAAUCCACAGUGGAUCUCAAGACUCAAGAUCAAUAAGUACAAGACAAUACAGAUACUAGUUAUGUAAUUCCAGCUAAGAAUUACAAAGACUCUGUAACAUACAAACAACCUAUUGUAGUUUGCAGGAACUUUCAUGGUAGUUAUUUUCAUAGUAACUGAGUGUGAUAAGCCUGUAUCAAAGGUGAGGAAAAUAAGGCAAGGUGAGCCUUGAACUUGGACUUGGCCUGGCAUCUUCUGACUCCAACUGCAACAUCUUUCUUCUUCACUUCUGUCUGGUGUGGAAGACAGAACAGGAGGGCAAGAGAUAGGGAAAGUCCUUAGAGAUGGCUGAGUUUGAAAUUUAUCCUGAAGCUGCUUUUUUGUUUGUUGACCUUGGCCACCUGGGAGCACUUAGUAGUGGUAGGGGAAGGAGAGUAAACAGGAGAGGAAGAAGAGAAAGUGUUUUGUUUUGGUUUUACUUUUUCGGGGACCUAAUUCUAUGUGAAGCAUGGAUGGAACACCCAAUUUUAAACAUAGUCACAAUGUUUAGAACCUGCAGAGAAAAAAGGAAAAGCUUUCAUUCUAGUUCAUAAUUUCUGUUCUUCAUCUUUUGAAACUUUGUAGCAUAUGUGCAUUGUAAAAGAAAACUCUCUUUUAUAAACUAAAAAUAGUUACUAGAUUAGAUUGUUGGCAAAGGGGUUUCUCUAUAUGGAGUCCUGCAGAGCCUUAAACCAUGAUUUACUUGGAGGAGAU
rnacentral:lncRNA from 1 species